rnacentral:rRNA from 1 species
GGGAGGUAGUGACAAUAAAUAACAAUACGGGGUUCUUUAGGAUCUCGUAAUUGGAAUGAGUACAAUUUAAAUCUCUUAACGAGGAACAAUUGCAGGGCAAGUCUGGUGCCAGCAGCCGCGGUAAUUCCAGCUCCAAUAGCGUAUAUUAAAGUUGUUGCAGUUAAAAAGCUCGUAGUUGAAUUUCGGGAUCAAUACGUCGGUCGUGCCUUUGGUACGUACUAAUGUCAUUGAUUUCUCCCUUCUGAUGAAUCAUGAUGUCAUUAAUUUGAUGUUGUGGGGAGUCAGGACUGUUACUUUGAAAAAUUAGAGUGUUUAAAGCAAGCUCACGCUUGAAUACAUUAGCAUGGAAUAAUGAAAUAGGACGUUUGAUCCUAUUUUGUUGGUUUCUAGGAUUGACGUAAUGAUUAAUAGGGAUAGUUGGG